CAGGCUUGAAAAGAGGCUGUGGCUAUGCCUUUUAACUCUGGAGAGGGAGCAUAAGAAGUGUUUGUUUAAGGAAUGAAUGACCUAUCCAUUUAGGACCUGUUUAGACCCUGAGGAUAACCCUGUGAGUUGCUGAUAGUUCACUGGGUCUGGCCCUCAGUGUUGAUCUCAGUAUGCUGCGGCGAAAACCAACCCGCCUGGAGCUGAAGCUUGAUGACACUGAGGAGUUUGAGAGCAUUCGAAAUGACCUGGAGACCCAUAAGAAACAAAAGGAAGAAGUGGACGUUGUAGGAAUCAGUGAUGGAGAAGGUGCCAUUGGGCUGAGCAGUGACCCCAAGAGCCGGGAACAAAUGAUUAAUGAUCGAAUUGGUUAUAAACCCCAACCCAAGCCCAAUAAUCGUUCAUCUCAAUUUGGAAGUUUUGAAUUUUAGAGGCGGAUUGUCUGGCAUGCCAGAGCCCUGGAAUGGAGUAAAAUGAUGGCAGAAGUACAAACAAGAUUUAGAGAAUUGAGUGCAUGCAGUGAAGCAGAAUGUUUUACCUCCUGCUGAGAAACACUUCUGCAUGAGAUUACUGAUGCUUAACUUUUGCUCUAAGUGGAAAUCUAAACUCUAGUUUGUCUCUGGAAAAUUUGACUCUAUAAAACUUGUCUGAUUUUUGUUUUUAAAAAUAAAUAUAUUUUUGG